rnacentral:lncRNA from 1 species
CUUGGAGACUGAAAGUUGGACUCGUAGGUACUGAGCGUCUUGUUGUGGAGACCAGAUGCAAUUCCUGGGCCUCCUGCUCCAGCUCCUGUCCAGCCCUGGGUCAAAGCCUGCAGGUGACGGACAGGACAGCAGAGUGAGCUCCAGGAUGUGGAGGAAGGAAGAUGAGAAAUAAUUCCCUGACUGGUGUCCCUUCCGUUUCGGGAUGAAUUGUCCUCCAGCUGCUCCUGAUUCCUAUGUUAAAGUCCUGGUGUGACGGCUCACAUCUGUCAUCCCUGCACUUUGAGAGUUCUGGAGGCCACAAGUGUGAAAUCAAGAUGUCAGCAGUGCCAUACUCUCUCUGAAGUCUGUUGGAGAGAACUCUUCUUUGUCUCUCCCAGUUUCUGGUGGUUUCCAGUAAUCCGUGGCUUCCUUGGCUUGUCGUCGCAUCAUUCCAGUCUCAGUCAUCAUGCGGCCUCCUCACUAUGUGUCUGUCUGUGUUUACAUUUUCCUCUUCUCAUAAGGGCAGCAGUAAAUGGAUUAGGCAUGCUAGUAUAUCUUCUUCGCUUGAUGGCAUCUGCAGACUCUGUUUCCAAAUAAGGCCUUGUUCAUGGGUACUGGGGUUAGGACUUCAACACCUCAUUUCUAGUCUCCUAUAUCACCAUGAAGAAAGCUAUGCUAGAAAGCUAUGUCUUUUGUUACUUAUACAAAAUGGUAUUGAUAAUAGCUACCUACUCAAAACUACUCAGAAUAAGAUCAGUUUCUAGCAUGACAGUAUGAGGAGCCGCCUGACCCACUCCUCCAGGUAAACUGGUAAAAACAGCCAUUUAAGGCUUCUGGAAUUAGUCCCAAGGAAAAACAUCAAAGGAAGGAACCUGUAUUCAAGAAAAUGUACUAAUUUGGUAGAAGAGGUGAAUCUGUGGGAUUUGAAACAAGACCACUUCUUUCCUCCCCACUCCCAGCUCAGCACGGUGGCAAUUUCCCUCCAGACAGCUACUGCCGAAACACAGGUCUCCUCUCCUCCCAGCACAGAGGGCCUCCUUCCAGGGAGGAGUAGGAUGGCAGUGUCCUUCAUCUUGCCCCCAGCUCCCUGUUGCUGAGGCUGUCUCAGAUGAAUGCAGUUGAGAGGUGCUACUCAUGGAAGGAGACUCUACCUUGGGUGUGACAUGCUGAGAAGACUGUGGCCCUGGUCACUUUUGCCCUGGCUCUUGAGGUGGUGUUUCCAUGCCAGAAGGCUCAAGUUAAGAAGACCACUGGCUAUCCCCAACUCCUCCACCAAGCACCCAGCCCCUAGGCAGAGGGUGUCACUCAGAGAAAAGCUUACCAUUGUUUCUACCCCCAGCUCCACAGCUCUGGUUCAGGUAUUUUGUUGCAAGGUAGGGGAGAAGAAGCAGUUCAGAGAAAAAAAGGUAAUUCUUAAUCUCUUCCCAAAGGAACUGACUUCAUUUUCAACAGAGCUUGGAGAAAAUUAAGCCUAAGGAUGCUCUGAAAACACAGUGGAGGUUGUGGUGAAGGGCAAUUGGGAGAGGCUAGUUUGCAGGAGAGAACCCAGAAUAAACCACUGGGAAGGAACCCUUCUGGGGGUCAGAACAAAUAUCAAACACUGACCUCAGAAACUAUUCUUUCAAAGGAGCCACAGUUUAAUGGGGUUAGUUUGUGGAACACUUUAUGCCCCAGGAUAUUGUUGAAAACAAUAGGGCAAUUGGCCACCAAUUAAUGGAGCUUAACAGCUGGAUGUGGUUAGGGAAGUGCCAGAGAGCCCUAGCAAAACCACUGUCAUCCCAGCACGACUGUGGGCAUAUGCAAAGCUGAACCUCUUUAGGGAGCAAUAUGAGAGGCUUAACGCUUUGGGAGGGAAAAUAUACAGUUGACCUUUGGACAACACAGGUUUGAACUGCGUGAGUCCACCUAUACAUGAAUUUUUUUCCACCACUGCCAACCUUGAGACAAGACUGACCCCUAUUCUUCUCCCUCCUCUGCAGCAUACUCUACAUGCAGAUGAUGUGGAUAAAGAUCUUUAUGAUGAUCUACUUCCACCUAAUGAAUAGUAAAUGUGUUUUCUCUUCCUUAGGAUUUUCUUAAUAAUAUGCUCUUUUCUGUAACUUAUUUUACUGAAAGAGUACAGUAUAUAAUACAUAUAACACACAAAAUAUAUGUUAAUUGACUAGCUGUGUUAUCAGUGAGGCUCCUUCUGGUCAACAGUAGGCUAUUAGUAAAGUUCUGGGGCAUCAAAAGUUAUACACAAUUAUUUUACUGCAUAGGCAGUCAAUGCCCACAACCCCUACUUUGUUCAAGUGUCAACUUUACUUCAUGAAAAUAAACCAGCCAGUCACUAAAAAAAAUCAAUAAGCAAAUAACAAUAACAAGUCCUGAAGGAGGGGAAGACCAAUAUGCAGAGUCAGUAGAAUAUAUUAUCUAAAAUGCCCAGUUUCUCACAAAAAAUUACAAGGCAUGCAAACAAACAAGAAAGUAUAAUAUGAUCCAUACACCUGAAAAAAAGCAGAGAAAGAAACUAACUUUAAGAAUGAUAAGACACAGGCCGAGUGUGCCUGUAAUCUCAGCACUUUGAGGGGUUGAGGUGGGAGGAUUGCUUGAGCCCAGGAGAGUGAGGCUAGGCAUCUAUCACACCACUGUGCUCCAGCCUGGGUGACAAAGUGAGACCCUGUC